CUUCCGUUGAGUUACUGUCGCUCUAUCGUACUGCCUGCGUGGGGGCUGCGCUGGAUGGCAGGCUAGUCGCCCUUCCGCUCCUUCUCCUUCGUACGGCACCUGAUUCUUUUUAUACCGCGUCGCUGUGCUCAAGCUCCCCCUCCCGAGUCGCUUCAAGCCGCGGCAGGUCAUCAUAUGGUGUGGAGACUCUCCACACCAAAGUCUGGAGGACUCGAUGGUGUAGCUCGGGGUGCUCUCGUCAUGCAUGCGGCAUCUCUGCCGCAUCAGCCCACCCGGUCGGGCGUAGGAGGCGCCGGACGCGCCGCGCACAUGCAUGCACGUUGGGGGUGAUCGGUAUGGAUUACCUCGCGCCUUCUUCGCCCAUCACUGUUGCUCUUCCGACCUCUGGAUGCCCCGCGCGGAUGCGAUACGCCGUGCCAGCUGUACUUGACAGCGCGUGCGCACAGUGCACGCAUUCCUGCAUCCUGGGACCUUGUUCAGGACGAGGUGGCUGCCUGGGGAGGGGACUCGCUGUCUUCCCUUUCCAUUCCAGUCGAUGCCAUUGAGGGUGGCGUCUCUGGGUGGCUUGCCCACAGUCAGCCCGGGAGUGAUAUGCUGGGGCGCACACGGCAACUGCGCAUGAGUAAAAUGUGUGUGCGUGUGGGGCUCCGAAGAGGUUGAUUCCUGCUUGCCGGUGUGAGAGCCGCGAAAGUGCUGAGACACGGCUGCCAUCCCGCGUUCGCACCCCCUGCACCAAAUGUGCAGGGCCGCACUCCGCGUGAGUGCGGAGCGUUGCACACGGCUGCGGUGCCGCGUAGCAAAGAGUGCGCUCCUCGCCUUGAGGGGGCGCUCAGCUCCACAAAAUGCACCAGUGCCCAGGGCCCCACCCUCCAGAGGGCGGAUUGCCGUGUGGCCUGUAUGGCAACCUUGUCUGCGAAGGGCGUUAGGAGUGCGAGGCCAUCAGCAAAGGAGGCGUGGUGUAGUGUGGGUCUCCUGUGGAGCACCACACUCAGCGAGCCCAUCACAAUGAAGAGGGUCCACGGCUGAUCCUUGUGGGGCUCCGCAUGUAAGCCCGGCCAUCCUCGAUCGCCGCGUGCGGAAGCCAUCCCCGGCCCGAAGGAGCCGCUUUUGACCACGCAAUGAAGGGCUGCCGCUCCUGGCAACAUGGCCUGGGCCCUUGCUGAACAUUCUCGUCCUCCAAACCUUUACAAUCAACCCGCACACCGCAGGCGCGUGCACAAUGCACAUCCUCGCCUCCGUCCUCCCGGCGAUCUGCGGCGUCGCAUUCAACGGGCGCGACAUGACGCCGCCAGAGGCCCGCGACACUUCGUUGGCCUCGAAGAGGGCCUUCGACUGCCUCCUCUCUCAGGCGCGGCUCUCGCACGGGCUCAAACUCUGCAGCCCACGUUCCCGGGACGAGUGGGCGAUGGGCCCCGUGGCCUUGAUGUGUUUAACCGCGAGCAGGUGCAUGAGACGGGGGGCGCUGUGCGAAGAGAGCACGCACUCGCAGAACAGCAGGAAGACGGGGUGACGCUACGGGCACGCGAUGGGGGCACGGCCCCACCGACAGGGUAGGCUCAGCAGAGCACCGAGCGGUGCGCUGCACGUGUGAGGCGCCUUUUCUUGACUGCUAGAGCUGCGGCUCCCCUUCAUUUGGAUGGCGCCUCUGUCAUCGCUGCUGCCCUCACGGGCUGCCUCCGCACAGUCAUGCAGUCAACGCGGAGCCACAUCACUCCGUGACUCACCUGUCAUGUGUGAUCCACGGCCCGUUGCAUAAAAUCCGGCGAAAACCCCGCUUACAGGCCGAGCCGUUAUCCUUCAUGGCAAAGGCGAAGGCGCGCAACUGAUGACGCGGAGAGGGAGUUGAGACCGGAAGCCGAAAGGGCGGGUGGGCCCGCGCACUCUCGUCCGUAUACUGGCUCAUGCGGUACACGCGUGUCGGUGCUCUUGUGAAAGGGCGGCGAAAAAAAUACGCACUCUAUAACUGCCCGUGUGGCCCUCUCGGUGUGUAGGCGGCUCGACCGCGCACACACACACACACACAACGCCUCCCACAAGCCGGAUCGACUGAGACCAAUGUGCCGACUCGCUCCAUGACCUCCGCGGAGCCCGCCCCCCUACCCCUCUCUCGCACACAUCCCCCAUUCUCCCUCCCUCUCUUCCUCACGCUGGCGAAG
rnacentral:misc_RNA from 1 species